rnacentral:rRNA from 1 species
AAAAUCACGGUCUGUGGUGACAGCGGAGGGAUCAUUACAGAGUUAUCAAAACUCCCAAACCCAUGUGAACAUACCUCGCGUUGCCUCGGCAGGUGGCGCCCCGCCCUGUGAGGGCCUACCCUGUAGGAGCUCACCCGGUGGUCGCCCCUGCCGACGGCCCACGAAACUCUGUUUUUUAUAGCAUUAGACCUCUGAAAAGAUAACUAAAUAAGUUAAAACUUUCAACAACGGAUCUCUUGGUUCUGGCAUCGAUGAAGAACGCAGCGAAAUGCGAUAAGUAAUGUGAAUUGCAGAAUUCAGUGAAUCAUCGAAUCUUUGAACGCACAUUGCGCCCACCAGUAUUCUGGUGGGCAUGCCUGUUCGAGCGUCAUUUCAACCCUUAAGCCCCUGUUGCUUAGCGUUGGGAGCCUACCGGAAACCGUCCGGUAGCUCCCCAAAGUCAGUGGCGGAGCCGGUUCGCACUCCAGACGUAGUAGCUUUUACACGUCGCCUGUAGCGCGGGCCGGUCCCCUGCCGUAAAAACCCCAAAUUCUUAUAGGUUGACCUCGGAUCAGGUAGGAAUACCCGCUGAACUUAAGCAUAUCAUAA